AUGGAGAGCCUGAUUAAGCAGUUCAGUUCAGAAGAGUUUGUACUGGAGCGUCGGUUUGCGGGGAGAGAUCUGUCGGCGUGCUGGGGGGUCUUCGGUCGGCGCGGCUCGGUUGGAGGGCGAGGUUCAAAGCCUGCUCUUCCCUUUCAUUUGUCCUGCAUCAGCACAUUGCGYGCUCUUCCCGCUGCACCCGGGAAAAUGUGGGUUUUCAAAGGUACCAGUUCUGUAAAUCUCCCGGGAGCAGCCGUUCCUGCUCCACAGCCAGAGGAAGGAAGAUCCUUUGAGGCUCCUUUGGUGGCAAGGAGCAGUAGCUCGGUCCUGGAGGGCUGA
rnacentral:lncRNA from 1 species